GUGCCCUUUUAAGGUUGCUGAAGUACUUUAAGAGGCUAACAGUUAAAGCGAGUCUCCAUAAAACCCAGAGAUGAGGUUGGUAGAACUCGUCUUUGGAUCCUGUCUGGAGUCACAGCU